rnacentral:rRNA from 1 species
GACGAACGCUGGCGGCGUGCCUAACACAUGCAAGUCGAACGGAAAGGCCCUGCUCUUGUGGGGUGCUCGUGUGGCGAACGGGGGUGUAUCACGCGUGUAACCUCUCCUUGUCAUUGGGAUAACUUCUGGAAACUGGGGCGCUUACCGGAUAUGAGCUCCUGCUGCAUGGGGUGGGUUGGUAAGUUUCGGCGUUUGGGGAGGGAGUCGCGGCUUAUCAGCUUGUUGGUGGGGUAGUGGCUUACCAAGGCUUGGACGGGUAGCCGGCCUGGGAGGGUGACCGGCCCCAUUGGCACUGGGAGGCGGCCGGAACGCAUACGGGAGCAAGGAGGGAAGAAUAUUCGAGACAGGGCGGGGGCCGGAUGCAGCAACGCCGCGUGCGAAAUGACGGCCUUCGGGUUGUAAACCGCUUUCACCUGAGAGGACGCGUCGGGAAGGGUAAUAGGCAGAGAAGCACCGGCUAAUUACGG